rnacentral:lncRNA from 1 species
AACACUGCACUAAGUAGGCUUGUUAUUACACGAGUUGAGAUUGAUAUGCAUCAUAUAAAGGUAGAAUUGUCACGACCCAAAUUUUAGGCCAUGACCGGCUCAUGGACCCAAUGGAAGUAAUCCACUAAGCCUAAGCAAGCCUAUUUAUAUGACCUGUUCACCAUUCCAUCAAAAGUUACUAAGUUACAUUCCAUAACUUUGAAUCAAAAUAAUACUAAGCAUUGCCAACUCAUAGUGGCAUACCAAUCAAAAUGUACAUAUAUUGUCAAAACGUGCAAUUUAAUAAUUUACAUCACUUAUACAUAUUUACAACAAAAUGACUUGGGCUUCCAACGGAGUGACCACAGUGAAGGUGUAGCUACUGAAUGCCAUUGAUACCUACCAAAGAUACGAAUCUACAAGGACACCUCGACCUAGCUACCGGUUGCCUCUUGAUCUGAAAACAUGAAGUUGAAAACGGUGAGUAU